rnacentral:rRNA from 1 species
CCUACGGGAGGCAGCAGUGAGGAAUAUUGGUCAAUGGGCGUAAGCCUGAACCAGCCAAGUCGCGUGAGGGAUGAAGGUUCUAUGGAUCGUAAACCUCUUUUAUCAGGGAACAAAGUCCGGGACGUGUCCCGUUUUGUAUGUACCUUAUGAAUAAGGAUCGGCUAACUCCGUGCCAGCAGCCGCGGUAAUACGGAGGAUCCGAGCGUUAUCCGGAUUUAUUGGGGUUAAAGGGUGCGGAGGCGGCCGUGUAAGUCAGCGGUGAAAGUCUGGGGGUCAACCACGGACGUGCCGUUGAAACUGGCAGGCUUGAGUGUGUGUGAAGUAGGCGGAAUGCGUGGUGUAGCGGUGAAAUGCUUAGAUAUCACGCAGAACCCCGAUUGCGAAGGCAGCCUACC